rnacentral:tRNA from 1 species
GGUAUCGUGGGUCUAAUGGUAAGACCACUCCGCCAAAAGACGGAGAGAUGCAGAUUCGAAUCCUGCCGAUACCA